rnacentral:lncRNA from 1 species
UCCCUGUAUCAGGACACGGUCCGUGCCCUGGAGGACUUGCUGGCGGGCCUCCUGCAGCGGAACAUGACUCCCCAGGGCCUUCAGAUCAUGGUCGAGGUGUGCGGUGGGGGUGGGGAAGGGCAGUCUGCCAGGCCCCUCCCUGUUUUCCUGGCCCUCUCUCCCCACAGGGGUACCUCAGUUUGAUACCCUCUGCGGUGGGUGGUCUGAGCAGGCAGGCAGCACUCCCAUCUGGACAGCCAUGCAGGGGGCGCGGCCUGUCCCUCUCCCCCACUGCGUGGUGCUGGGUUGGAGAAGCAUGGGUCCUGACGUAACUCCUGACCACUGGGGGCCAGCAAGAUGGCAGGACAUGGUCCUGCUGCAGCAUGUCUCCAUCUCCCUUCAUGGUUAUGGUGGGCUGGGGUGGACCCCUGGGUCUAGGAGGACACCCUUCUAGGGCCAAGGUGGACUCUACCUGUGCCUAACAGGCCUGGUUUACUCUUGGUCACCUGGGGUGGGCCGCGUCUGUGAGCAGACAGCACAGGGGUGGGGCAGGGCUGAGCUGCUGCGGGUCCCGGGAUGGGAGCUGCAUGGGUGCGGAGGGCUGACCCCCUCAGGGAUUCCGAGCUGGCGCUCAGGACACAGGCUUCUGCUCUUCUGGGCGGUCCCCAAGCUGGCACCUGGGUGAAGUCCCUUCUUCCUCAGCACCUGAGCCCAUGGAUCAAGUCCCCAAAGGGCCACGAGCGGGCACGGGCCUUGGGCUUGAGCACCCGCCUGCUGCAGCACUUCCGGCAGCACCUGCACGUCAGCGUGAGUACAGGCCCCUGUGGGCAGGGAGGGCACGGCCACUCCAGCAGCUCUGUCUGCCCCACCCCUUGUGGGUCCCUUGGCUUGGGAGCCCCUGCAUGUGGCCCUCGUCCACGGAGCACCCUGCAGGCUCCCCGGCCUUCCCCCUCGGUGCCCCGGCUCGGGUCUCGUCCUUUUGCCGGGAGUGGUCCUGGCCAGGAGUGACCCUGGGGUCUGUGCCCGGGCCGCUUGCUUUGUCAUUGCCUGUCUUCGUCACGUCCCUGUUGAGAAUGUGGCUCACUAAGAACAGAGGCCACCCACCUGCCCGCGGCCCCAGGCCCACAGCCCAGUCUUGCCUUCCGGAAGCCCUGCAUUCUCAGCAGCAGCGACUCUUGGGGUGCAAGAGCAGCGGGAUCCGGGGGCUUGUGAGAGCCCGGGGGAGGGGCAGCUGAUGGGGCCAGGCCCUGGGAAGUGGAGAAGGGCCGAAGGUCAGCGUGGAGGAGCGAGCCCUGAGAGCCAGCCGGGGACCUGCUCCGUCCCAGGGCGUUGGCCUUCCAGAGGAGGGACUUCCCAAGGAUGUGGCCGAGUCAGCAGAGUCCUGUGCCUCCUCCCCCUCUGCUGCCCACGCAGGGGCCUCCCCCUGAUCCCCUGACCACCCUUCUGCCUGCCCAUAACUGCUUCCCCAGCAACUGCUGUGCUCGGGGUGCUAGGUGGCCCAGGUGGUUAGUGGAGCCGAGCAGGUCCCCUGUGCUGGGUGUGGGGGCCAUGCCACCACAGGGAGGCCCACUCUGGGUGUCAGCGGUGGGGACUGUACCUGCCUUCCCUGGCCUACCAUCUCCCCCCAGGCUCUGGUGCCCUUCCACAACCUGGGCCUCCUCGUUGGCCUCUUCUCCCCGAGGUGUGCCGACCUGUGUUCCGCCACCCGCCGGCAGGCCGUGGACUGCGUCUACACCCUGCUCUACCUGCAGCUGGGCCACGAGGGUGAGCUCGGCAGGCAGGGGAGGUGGCUGUCGGCCAGGCAGGCGGGCGGGCAGUGGGAGCGGGCGGUCCUGGGCCAGGCAGUCCGAUGCCUUUCCGUCGCCUACGUCCGAGUUUGCUGUCCCUCGACCUUCCCCGCCUGCUUAGCCUGGAGUUCAGGCUACUCGUCCCAGAGGACCUCAGCCUUGCCCCUCUGGCCCCUCAGGGUUCUCCCGAGACUACCGCGAUGAUGUGGCCGAGCGGCUGCUCAGCCUCAAGGACGGCCUGGUGCACCCUGACCCUGCCACCCUCUUCCACACCUGCCACAGCGUAGCCCAGGUACCUGCGAGGCAUGUGCCCGAGGAGGAGGGCUGGGGCUGCCUGGCGUCUCUAGGCUGUGCUCCAGCGCAGAGCAGGGGACGAGGGUGGGGACAUGUUGCCUUCAGACAAUGUGUCGUCUGGCCCAGUCUCGGGCCCACAACUCCCGUGCCCCCAGCGCCUUCCUCCUGAGGCACCAUGGGCUGUGCAGAGUGGUGUUCCGUGUGGUGAGGCUGGGCCUGGGGCACGGAGCCUCACAGCCAGGCCUCCUGCACUGUAGGCUCCCGAGCAGAAGCCCGAUGGCCUCUCUUGGUGUUGUGCACAUGGCCUCUCUGGACAGCGGAGGGCUGCCUUUGGCUUCUGGCCUGUGCAGGGGCCGAGGUCCUUUGUCUCCCUGUCCCAGGCCUUCAUCCCUCAGCAGCCUGCGCGUGGCUCUGUGGGGGUGUCCCCUUCGCCCCCAUCUCUUGUACUCCCUGGGCCCUGUGACUAGCCUGAGCUGUCCUGUCCCUUCCUGCCCCUAGCUUUCCUGGUGGCUACUCAGAGGCCCAGCAGGGCUCCAGGGGAUGAAAGGUUGCCCCCCUGCAGCCCCAUGUUGCUGCAUUCCUGUGUUCCCUGGGAGGACCCUCAUGGGUCUGAGUCUGACAAAGGGAAAAGGAAGGACGUGGUCACCUGCACCCUUUCUGAGGGGAACAGAGACGCAGCAGGGGCCAGGCAGGGUAGUGGGAGCCGGUGGUUUGGCUCAGGCAGCUCUUGCUGCCUCUUGACCCUCCCCUGCUCUCCUCGCCUUGACCUCUGGCCACCUCGUGCCCACAGGAGGAGGAAAGGGGCUCCUGUCGGCUGCUGAGCUGCAGGGGAGCCAGGUCCUUGCAGGGGCUCAGGGGCCACUGCGCAGGAGGGACUUGCCAACCCCUGGGGCCUCCCUGAGUGAGUGGUGUCUGGAGGGGCCUCGCCUCUUGGUUCCGCAUCACCCUUUCUAGAUCAUUGCCAAGCGCCUUCCGCCAGACCAGCUCAUCAGCCUCCUGCUGACCAUGUUUGAGGGUCUGGGAGACCCCGACAAGAACUGCUCCCGUGCAGCUACGGUCAUGAUCAACUGCCUGCUGAAGGAGCGGGGCCCCGCGCUGCUGGAGAAGGCGAGUGGGCCCGGCGUCGGGGGGGGGGGGGCAGCUGAGGCUCGGAGGUCCACCGCUGGUGGUCUGCAGGGGGAAGGACCAGCUGGAGGUGAAGGCUGCUGGGCCUGUGGCUGGUCCAGUGCUACAUGUGCCUCAUUCUGUCACCCAUUGUCCAGCGGUGGGCACUGGUUGCUCCUCCUGCUUGUCACGGGGGACGGCAGCGAGGGUGCUGCGUGGGCGCCUCUGCAGGCCCCGCCCUUGGUCCUUCUGGGAGGAUUCCCAGAGUGGGGUUCCUGGGUCUUGGGGUGGCCUGUGUGACGUCCUGAGGGUCCUCCCUGCUGUUCCGCACGUGGCCGUCGCGUCCACAUUCCCGUCAGCGGUGCCCGAGGCUGCUGUGUGGGCAUCAGUGCUCGUCAGCUUCUGUUUGUCCUUUUUGUAGUGGCCCCCGAAAGACGUGAGGUCUGAAUUUGCGUUCCUAUGACGGUGACUGAGGCCGAGUGUCUCCGCGUGGUUUUCGGCCAUUUGCCCGUCAUCUCUGGAGAAGGCUGACUUGAGCCCUCGCACUCUCUCUGGCCGGGCUUUCCUGGGUUGAGAGGUUCCAUUCCAGGCGCAGGACCUGCAGGCGCGGGGCUCGUGCUGUGGGUCACCGUCUUGCUGGGAACGUCCUCCAGCUCCUGCUGGUUCUGUGGCCUGUGCUCUUGUUGUCACCUGCAAGAAAGGGCUUCUGUCUAGAAGCCUUGACCUGCCUUGUCCUCUAGGGGCUUUCUUUAGCCUUGGGUCCUUCUGUUCUGGACAAAGGUAGGUCCUUCCAUGGACCUGACCUACCGAGCCAGGUGGUCAGUGCUGCUGACCCAGCCUUAGCGCCUGGUUGGUCUGCGCCUCGGCCGCAGUCGCUCCUGCAGCUGGGCUCUGGCACCGUGGGCCUCUAGUGCUUCGGUGACCCUCUGUUUUCUUCCCUGCCAUGCGAUACCCUAGCAGGGGACCUUGUAGAAACCGAGACUGUGUCUGGGCACCUUGGCACACGCCUGCAAUCUCAGCGACUCAGGAGGCUGAGGUAGGAAGGAUAGCAAGUUCCAGGUCAGCCUCAGCAACUUAGUGAGACCCUGUCUCAAAAUAAUAAAUUCCAAGGGCUGAGGAUGUGCUCACUGGUAGAGCCCCCUGGGUCAGAGGAGCAGGGCUGGGAAGGCCACUGGGGCCAGCUCGGCCUGCUGUGGGCCGGGGGUGUGCACUGGGCGCCCAGGGAACUUGAGAAAAGAGGAGAUCCCAGUUAAAGCUGACCCCUGGGAGGGCAGGUGCUGCUGAUUGGACUGUCUGGGAGGUGCUCAGAAAGUCAGACAUGGACAGCCGGGCGCAGUGGCCACGCCUGUGAGCAGUGACUUGAGAGGCGGAGGCGGAGGAUUGCAAGUUCCAGGCCAGCCUCAGCAACUUAGUGAGACCUUGUCUCAAAAUUAAAAAAAAAAAAAAAAAAAUUUAGAGGACUGAGGAUGCAGCUCAGUGUAAAGCACCUGAGUUCAAUUCCCAGUGCUAACAAUGUGAGAAAAAGAAAGAAGAAAGUCCGACACAAAGAUAGUACGUGCCCACUCCCAGGUACACACAUCCCCAGGAGAAUGAAGACGGCUUCACUCAAAACCUUGUGCAGAAAUGUUCAUGGCAGCAGCACCUAAAUGUCCAUGUCAGUGAACAAAUGGACAGUAGCUGGACCUUGGAAACAGCCCCACGUGAAGGAAGCCAGACAUAGGCCAUGUGCCGUGCAGCUCUGUUGACCUGGAACAUUCGGAACCAGCAGACCACAGAGACGGGGGGGCUGGGGGCUGGGGAGGGAGUGGGACUCUGCUGUGGGCAGUGUUCUCGAGUGGCUCCUGGACUGUGUCUCCACGAAGCUCUUCGUGGAGUGGACAGAGAGGCGAGGGUGCUCUGCAGGGGUGCACGGCGAGGGGAGGACCGUCCGCCAGGCUGGUGAAGAUCCAUGAGCCCAAAAGAGCCUGGAAGGUUGGGGUACAGCCUCCACCGGGCAGUGGGCUGCAGCCCUCACUCAGGGGGCAGGGUCUAUGCAGGACCUGGGUGUGUGAGGCGUCCUGGGGCUGUGAGCGGGACAGUGAGUGUGGAGGCCAGCCAUCCCCAGCCUCCACACCAGCCUCCACAGCUUGCCGCAGCCCCGCACGGCCUCACCGAGUGUGGACAAGGCCUGCUGGCAGCUCAGCGCCUCCUCCAGGGGCUGGAGGUGCCCAGUGGCAGAGCACAGGAGGCACACAGUCAGGAGGCCACAUGCUGUUCCAGGUGGGACCCUUGGGCCAGCCAGAGUCCACCGAGCUGUGGCAGCCACCUGUCAGGCCCAGGUGCGGCCAGAGGAGCAGGGCCAGCAGUGCAGGUGCCAGGGGCUGCCACCCAAGCUGGGGCCAGGCAGUGACUGGGCCUCCCGCACCUCCGCAGUGGGCAGCACCCAGCCUGUCGCUUCCCGCCACACCUCUGUGUCCUUGUUGGCCAGGGCAGGCCUUGUUCCUCUCCAGCUGCUCAGGCCAUUUGGUGAGUCCCUCUGCCGCAGCUGGGAGGUGACCUAGCCUGGACAGUGUGCUGCUGGCCUGCCGUGUGCUUUCCAGCGGCCCGACCUUGGCGGUGGGGCACGGCACGGCAGAGGCGGGAGCAGAGACUUGCCGGCCAGCACCCCUGAGCCUGGGGACCCACCUGUCCAUGUUCCCCACUGUUCACUGCUCUGGGCCGCAGCAGGACCCUGCAGACCCUGGUGGGUGUGUCCAGGUCCCACACCCCUCCUUUCUGAGGCGCCGUCGUCCUCUCCUGUCUUCCCCGGCCCCCAGCGCGCCACUCAGGGGAGCGGUCGGAGUCACACGAGUUGGGCCUCCAGAAGUCUGUGGGCCUGAGGGGCCCAGCAGCGUCCGCUGUGCCUCCUGGCCCGCACCUGCCCUCCGCGCCUCGUCGGUCCCUCUGCCGUCUCCCUUCCCUUCCUCUGUCCUGCUCCUGGUGUUGGGGUGGACACAGGCCUCGUGGGCAAGUGUUGUCACUGAGCCCAGCUCAGCUGCUGUCCACAUGGAAUCCGGUCUCCAUCGACUGGGACCACGGGAGCUGGCCCUGGGCCAGCAGCUGGACGCUCUGGUUUCCAGGGGCUGUCCCCCACAGCCAGGCUGUCCUUGUGGCGUGGGCCUGACCUGGGUGUGCCCUCAUCUGUCCUGGUCUGUGGCCUGACCCCCACGUCUCCCUCCUGUCCUGUCCCCUCUGCAGGUGCCGGAGAUCGUGAGUGUGCUGCGCUCCAAGCUGCAGGAGACCCAGGGAGAGCACAUCCUGCCGGCCGCCCAGCACGGCCUGUACCUGCUGGCCUCCCAGCACUGCGCGGCCGUAGUGUCCAGCCUGCUGGGCAGCCCCCUGCCCUUCGACAGGUACCCAGCGCCGGCGGGCCCUUAGGUGGAGCUUUGUCGACCAGCGUGGAAGGUCCUUCCUGUGUGGCUCAGGGCUCGCUCCCCAGCCCCCAGCCUACCUGUGUGCCCAGCUUUUCUGAGUGGGUCCUCAGGCCCGGGCCGUGGGGACGGGAGUCCUCUAAGACAGGCCUGCCUCUAGGCACUGUGGGGCUGCCCCUCACAGCCGCUCAGGGUCUGGCUGAGGCCCUUCCCAGGUCCGCCUGGCUGCUAGGGCUCCAUCAAGCUCCCCACCGGGCCCGGUCCUGGCCCUCCUCUGUGGCCCCGGGGCUGCCCGCCAGCUCUGACUGCCAUGGCUGCUAGAGGCUGGUCCUCAGGCCGUCUCCGUCGGGCCAUCCCUGGGGACAGCCUCCCGUGGCCAUGCUCACUUUGGGUCCCUCCAGAAGCUGAGGGACUUGUGUCCUCACAGGACAUUCCCCAAACUCACCUCCCGGCUCCUGACCGCAGGCCCCUGAGCUUCUCGAGGGCUCGCUGGCCCUGCCUCUGGGGCCACUGCACCCGGGGCGAACCCGUGAGCUGCCGUGCCUGGUCCUGGCUGCGGUGCUGACAGGGACAGCCCUGGGCCAAGGGGUAUCGUGCCUGUGUCCCUCCUGUCGGUGUCACCCUGAGUCACAGCUGUUUCUGACAAGUGCCUUGAAGGCGGCCAGGAGCUGUGCUCUGCCCCUGGCAGGCGGGUGUGCCCUGGCGCCUGCCCCUCGCCAGCCUGUUGUGAGAACCCCACCAGCAGGGUCUCCUCACCUCUGCUGCUCCCAUCCCACGGUUAGACAGGGGACACUGUUGCUUUGAGCACAGUGUCCUGUGUGGCUCAGGGCUCGCUCCCCAGCCCCCAGCCUACCUGUGUGCCCAGCUUUUCUGACGGCGUGGCAUUGCUCUUCUCGCGUGUGUGUGUGUGUGUGUGUGUGUGUGUGGUGCUGGGGUUGAGUGCAGGUAAGCACUCUACCACCAAGCUUUCCCCCAGCACUUCUCACGUUUUAUUUUGAGUCAGGGUUUUGUUGGCCUCCAACGUGUGGUCCUCCUGCCUCAGCCUCUCGAGUCACUCUCUUGUGCAGUCUUCAUUUAGUUGAACUUUACUACAUAUUUACCACUUGGCUUGCUCUUUUUGCAUUUCUUAUUCCUUUUUCUGUGGGGGUGUAAAUAUGUGCAGAGGGCACGUGUGUCCUGGUUCCUUCUGUGGUCACUCCAUGCUGGCAGACCUCAGCACCCCCCGCCGGGGGCAGAGACAGCAUCUAGCCUUCCAGGGCCCUAAGCACUGCUCAGGCACGGCCUCCUGACGACUGAGUGCCUCCUCGCUGCUGGCUGAUUGCCCCACCUGAGAUUCCAGGAAAUGGGUGGGACAGAAUGGAUGCCCCUGUCUUCUUUGCACCAUGUGUGGCUGGGGGUGCUGGGGGCAGCUUGUCCUUCAGGGCUGUGUCUUGCGCAGCUCACUUUCCUGAUUCCAGGUGGUGGACAUCUCGGGUUGUUUGUAGUGUGGAGCUUUGAGGGACAACCAUCUUUAAUACCCGUGUAUCUCCUGCAGGGUAUGGGCGGGGUGGCUGUGGGUGGUCAGCAAGCUGCCGAGCAGGCCAGCAGCUGGGUGUGCACCCUGCGGGCCAGGAGUGGGCUUCCCGUCUAUAAAGGUCAGGCUCAGGGCCUCCGGGCCUCCCCCACACCCUGGCACCUCCUGGCUGGCCCACUGCGUACAGCCCUGGCACAGCCCAGGACCCCUGGUCCAGCUGGGCCUGCCUUCUCUGAGCUGAGCUGCCCGGGGACUUGUCUGUGCUGUGGGCGGGUCCAUGCACCCCGCAGGCUCUGUUGCUCCUGGCUCUGAGAUCCCCACCGCUUGCCUUCAUCUCAAGUCUGACUUCUAGCAUUUCUUUGGCAAGAAUCCUUGAGUGACGAAUCCACUUAUGUUUACUUGAAGGUGUCUUUGGCUUUCCUUAUCAUCAUCAUUCCUACAGAUUGUGUAUUUUUUUUUUUUUAAUAUUUAUUUUUUAGUUUUCGGCGGACACAGCAUCUUUGUUGGUAUGUGGUGCUGAGGAUCGAACCCGGGCCGCACGCAUGCCAGGCGAGCGCGCUACCGCUUGAGCCACACCCCCAGCCCAAGAUUGUGUAUUUUUGAUACCGGGGAUUGGACCCAGGGGCUCUCUACCACCAAGCUCCAUCCCCAGCCCUUUUAAUUUUUUUAGUUGUAGUUGGACACAAUACCUUUAUUCUAUUCACUUAUUUCUAUGUGGUGCUGAGGAUCGAACUCAGCGCCUCACACGGGCUUGGCGAGCGCUCUACCGCUGAGCCCCAGCCUCCCUUUAUACUUUUUAUUCUGAGACAGUCGCACUGAGCUGCUGAGGCUGGCCUCAGAUUUGCCACCCUUCUGCCUCAGCCUCCCAGGCUGAUUCUUUGGUUUCCUUUCGACUUUACUAUAUCUUCAGGGUUUCUAGUUCCCAUCAGACAUUCUGAACUUUAUAGUGAUCUCUCUGAUCACAAACUUGACUGAUUCUUCUGAGUCCGAACACCUAUAUCCGUGAAGGCGUGGGACUCUUUCGGCUACCCGUGACAUCCAGGUGAUCUCCCGUGCUGCCUCACGUCCCUGUGUCCUCCUGGACCCUGCCUCCCUGAGAGGCUGCUGUUUCUGGCGGGCCCCAGCAGUGCCUCUCACUGCCCCUGUUUACGGACCUCUGAGGUCGAGGAAGGGGGGAGCUCAUGUCUCAGGGCAGGAUGCUGCGUGCCGUCUAGCUGGAGCUGAGGCUGCUGUAUCUGAGCACUGGGGAGCCGGGGGCUUCAGUGCUGCUGGGCAGAGGCCCAGCCUGGGAGCCAGUGCCUGUGGUUCAUGGUGACCCUCCUCUCGCCUCUCCAGCCACACCUGUGCCCUGUGGCGGGCCCUGGCCGUGCAGCCCAGCCUUACCACGCAGGUCCUGGAACUGCUCCUGGAGAAGAUGAGCAGGGACGUCCCCUUCAAAGAGAGCCGGGCCUUUCUGCUGGGCAGCAGCCCUCACCGGGUGGCCACACUGCUGCCCCUUGUGGUGAGUGGGAGCUCCAAGGGCACCAAGCUCCCCACCCCACAGGGAGGCCUAGGCUCCCGCAGGCACCUGGCAGCUGCAUGGGGGCUCCAGGGCUGCAGGCGCCGGCCCAGGCUCGUAAAGCCUGGCAGGUGUCGGCCCCCAAGGGAGCCCGUGUCACGUUUCAUCCUGUGGGAAAAAUAAGCCAGCCUGGCCACAUUUUAAGCAGUAAAGCAGCUGUGGGAAUUCCUUCCUCUUCCUAAAGGACAGAGAAUGGGUGACCCAGGGCCCCUCCCAGGGCCACCAUGCCUCCUGUCCCGGGAGCCACGCUGCUCAGGACCAUCCCUGUGGUGGCCCUGGGAUUCCUCCUGCCUUCCUCUGGCCACCCGAGACCUCUGUGGAGCCCAUGCACAUGGGUACAUGCCAAGGGGCGGAGGUUUGUGGGGCCCUGGGGUCAGAGAGCAGGGGUCGCUGUGUCCUAGGGGUUGCGACCCUGCUGGGGCCUCUCCCCAGGCCACCUGUGCACUGAAUGAGGUCCUGUCUGCUCCCGCCUCGGGGACUGCGGUGCUGGAGCUGUACCCCCAGCUGUUGGUGGCGCUGCUGCUGCGCGUCAGCUGCACUGUGGGCGUCCAGCUGCCCCGGAACCUGCAGGCCAAGGAGAGGAGGGGCACUGGCACAGCCCCGGCCAGGAGCCUGGAGCCCUGCAGGUAAGGGCUGUCUGCUGUGCGCUUUGGAGGCAGGGAGGGUAGCUACCGUGCCUGCUGCCUGGGCCUGAGGGGAGGGUCCAGGAGAGUCUGCUCCCAGGGCUGGCACUGCCCGUUGGUGCAGGGUCGGGCCGUCGUCGUGGUGCCCAGACGCCUUUCGUGCUGGGGGUGAAGGCCCCCGUCUGCAGCCCCCUGGUCUCGUCUCACCUGUGCAGACAGGACUAGGGCCGGCGCUGGGUGGGGACAGGGGUACUGCAAGCCCGUGCAGCAGUGCUGACCAUGGGUGGCUGCCAGGGACUUCGCAGGGAGCUGCCUGUGGUCCAGGUGGGCCAGGAUGUUACUCUCUCGGUGGGUCGGUGGGGGGUCUCUGGGCAUGGCCUGGAGCCUGCAUGGAAGGAAGCUGCCCUAGCAGAGCAACCUCAGGGUGUGCCAGGGUGCUGAGCAGGAGUGGCCAGGCUGCCCUGGGCUUUGUGCAGUGCUCCUGCCCCAGGGCUGGGCUGCGCUGUCCUCAAGAUCUAGCAGCAUGUGUCUCUCUCUCGGGCUUGCCGGUCCUGGUCCUUGGGGUCAUUUCUGGGCUAGCAUGGGGACACUCAGGGUUGCCAACAGUCUGAGCAGUGGAAGAAGACACUCCAUGAGGCAGCCUGGCAGUGCCACGUGAGCCCUGGACCGUGAGCCUGGACUUCGGCCAGCCCUGGCUUGCCAUGCCCCCACCCUGACUGCCCUGCCUCCAGCCCACCCAGGUGUCCAGGUUUGGGUGGGUACCUCAGCCAGGGACACAUGGAGGGGUAGCCUCAAGUCACCCACCACCACCUCCAGGGGCUGCUUAGCCUCAGGACCCACUUGUAAACCCAGCAGGUGCGGGUGCCAGGGCUGGCUUGGUUCCCUGAAGACCCAGUGGAAACUGAACGGGAAGGAGCAGCUGCUGGCCUGGCCAAUCCCGGGUCUGGCACGCUGGACUCAGCUCCGCCUGUGAGCGUCCCGGGAGCCCGGGAGCCCGGGGCCCCAGACAUUCGCAAAGCCUGGCUGACAGGCCAUCAGCUCACGAGCCAAACGAGGAUCCUUGAGCAGGAGCCGGCUGUCUCCCUCAGGCACUUGGUCUAGCACCCCGCUCCUGGCUCCCUUGUGGCCCACGGCUGGCCCUGUCCCAUGUGGACGGAGGUGGGGUGCUCUGCAUCAGCUGCAGCAGCUGGUGUGGCUCUCUCUGCCUGUGGUCAGUGCAGGCUGCUCCAUACCCAGGGCCCAGGACCCCCAAGCCCAAAGUCCAGACCUCCCUUAGAACUGAGGACUCCUGGGUGCCUACUCAAGCACCACCCCACACCCCGAGCACACAAGGCACUGGUCCAGCUGGUGGCCAACAGUGAGCCACCUCAGGAUGUCCCCAGGGAGGUGGCUGGGCUGGCAGGAAGCUCCAAGCAUCUGCUUCCUCCUGGAGCCUCUGCCUAGGUUUCUAGGCUGUGCUUCUCCAGCCCGACCCGGGGUCCUUGCCCCCAGGGCUGAGAGGGCCCCACAUGCAUGGGCUGGCAAGGCCUGCCCUGAAGCUUCAGCAGUGCCCCUGCCCACCCGGCUGGACACCUGAACCCACUGUCCCCCACACCCCAUAGUCCCCAACACGAUCACAGCCUAUCAGGGUAAACAGAAGGCUUUUCAGGCCCAGCACUUGGCAAGAGGUGACCACUGUAGUGGACAGGCUGUCACAGCCAUGGUGUCACCCAUGGUGGGUUCCUCACACUGCCCUCUGGAUGUCUGCCCGCAGGGCAAGAGCUCAUGGGGAUGAUGCCUCGCCGACUCAGAUGUACACAACCCAUUGUAGGGCCUAACCUGAGUGGCCAGUGAGCAGAGGAAGGCAGUGGCAUGGGAACCAGACCUCUGCGGGGAUGGACUGGUCUGGGCAAGACCCCAGGCCUUAGUGAGGAUGCUAGAGCUACCUGCAGAGAGGGCUUACUGGAGCAAGGCCCUGGGGAGUGUGGUCUCGGUCUCAUUUCCUGUCGGCUGCUGGCCCGUGAGCCUCAGGUCUUCUGCAAGAAACUGGAGAGCCAGAGAUCUGGCCCAGCGCCCUGCCUGUGACCCCCAGCACUGGAUGCCUCUCUGCCAGCUGCUCCAGCACUGGGGCCAUUUUCUGCUCCCUCACCUGGUGGCCUUGCUUAAUCCCUGGGAGUGGGGCAGAGGCCCAGCCUGCCAUCCCUAUGGAAGGCCCUGGAGUCUCCCAGUGUGGACAUAGCAUCUCACAGACAUGAGUUACCCAAGGCCUUUGAGGGGCAAGAACUGGCUGUGUGCAGGUCCAGACCUGGGGCCGCUACUCUCAUGGCCCAACAGUGGCUUGGCACAUCACAGCAAAGGUGCUUGGGAGAGGCUGGAAGCUAGAUGUGGCCUCUUCCGAUGUCCCUGCUGCAGUUAUGGCUGAGGAAUCCAGAAAGGCUGGUUGGCCAGGUGGCUCAGCCUGAUCCGAAGCUCCCCACCAGGCCAAGAGAUGAGGGUCUUUGUCUCAGGCCCUGCAUCAGUCAUGCUGGGCACCCAAGGACCUCCCAGCAGUCCUAGCAGUCUGCUCCCUAAAGGGUGGACUGGCAGGCGUGGGGGCUGGGCAGCCCUGGAAUCCCUUCCCGUGUGUGCGCCUACAGGGGGCUGCACGCAGGCUCAGCUCCCCAGGCCCCUCCUGGCCCUGGUGGGAAGAGACACACAGACCCCUGUGCCCCAGGCAGGGCCCACCGGGCAGCUGAGCCUCACACCCCCACAGCUCUGCAGUGGACGCGCUCCAGGCCCUGCUGCUCCGAGGUGGCAGCCAGGACGUGGCACAGUGUAUGCAGCUGGAAGGGGGCUGGGAGCUGCUCAGGACCUCAGCAGGGCACGAGGAGGGGGUCACCCGGCUGGCCAGGUAAGCAGGCCGAGUUCUGUUCAGGGGACAUCCGAGGGCCUAGGUCCCCUGGAGCUGCCUAGGAGGGGCAUCCCUGAGCCAGAAGAGGAGGCCGUGGGAGGGGGUGUCUGAGAGGAAGAGCUGGAAGGCUUGGGCAGGGCUGCCAAGAGUUCUGGCUAUGCAGGGUGAGGGGUGAAAGCGCCCUGAGGUGCACGUGAGUGGACUGGACGGGGCCUGUGGGCUCCAGGCAGGCUGCUUCAGCCUCUGAACCCCUGGGGGCCUCCCUCCCCAGUGCCAUGGCCCGGUGUGCGGGGCCCCGGCUCCCCCUAGUGGUGAAGGCGCUUGUGUGCACACAGAACAGCCUGUACGAGAUCCAGAGAGUCACCUCCACUGCCUUCCUGGCUGAGGUAGGACCCUGAGGGAGGUGGGGGUGGUCACGACUUCCUGCUGGGCACUGGGGAGACACCAUCUCUGUCUCAUAACUGAGUAGGAGCCCACAGGUGGUGCUGCCUCCCCAGCCCCUGUGGAGCUGGCUCACUCUUCCUGGCAUUGCCCGUGGUGGGCCCAGCCCACAGACUGGCAGACAGAGCUCCUCAGGCCCUUGGUGGCCACUGCCUUGGUUCUCCUCAAUGACCGUAGAGGUUAACACUUUGGCCAGGCCUUGGCAGUGGAAGGCCAGGGUGGCGAUGUCAGUGCAGACCCGAGGGAGGAAGGGGAUCCCCAGCCUGUCCUGGACCCCCUGUUCUGCUGUGGUACUCUGGUAGGAGGCAGCAGGUGGUCACGAUGCCUCUGCCCCUAGCUGCUCAGUAGCAAUGUGGUCAAUGACCUGAUGCUUCUGGAGUCCUUGCUGGACAACCUGGCAGCUCGACAGAAGGACUCAAGUACCAGUGUGCGGAGACUGGUGCUGCGUGGCCUGGCCAACGUGGCCUCUGGCUCCCCGGACAAGGUGGGUCCAGCAGGCCGUGGCUAGGGUGUGCAGAUCCAGGUGGAAGUGGACAAGGGUGGUGGCUGUGUGCAGCUGCUUGGGGCUGGGGUACAGUGCCUGCAGGGGCUAGGGACAGAGCAAAGGCUGAAUGCAGGGUUUCCAGGUGCGGGCCCACGGCCCCCAGCUCCUGACAGCCAUGAUCAGCGGGCUGGACGACGGGGAUGACCCACACGGCCUGGUGGCCCUGGAGGCCAUGGUGGGCCUGGCUCGACUGCUGGACCUGGUGGCACCCUGGGACCUGCGCCUGGUGCUGCUGCACACAGUGAUCCGCAUCCGGCCCUUCUUCGACAGUGUAAGCCAGCCACGGUGGGGUUGGGUACUGAAGCCAGUGUUCAUGGCCCCCGGCCAGUCCCUGCCACUUCCCCAUGGGUCCCCCGAGCCAUACUUCCACCCGUCACUUAGGCCCCAACAGGUACUGUCUCCCCCAAGCCCCUAACAAGGAGUUUUUCUGUGGCAACCUGAGUUCUCUUCCCAAGCCCACCCACUACAUGGGACAGGAAGGAUGGCACCUGACAGGGGCCCAUAGCUACAGGCUGCAGGAGGGCCAGGGGGAGGAGCACUGUAAGGUGACAGGGCAACACCUCUGCCAGGAGAAGGUGGAGUUCCGAGAAGCAUCCAUCCGCCUCUUUGGGCACCUCAACAAGGCCUGCCAUGGGGACUGUGAAGAAGUCUUCCUGGAGCAGGUUGUGGGCGGGCUGGUGCCUCUGCUGCUACACCUGCAGGACCCUCAAGCCCCUGUGGCCAAUGUGAGUAGCCGAUGGGGGAGGGGUGGGGCCUGGGCGGGGCGCGGGGCGCGGGGCUCAGCGUGGUACCCUGUUAGGCCUGCAGGUUUGCCCUGUGCAUGUGUGUCCCCAACCUGGAGUGCGAGGAGCUGGCAGCCACCUUCCACAAGCACCUGCAGGAGGGACGCAGCCUGCACUUCGGGGAGUUCCUCAACUCAACCUGCAAGCACCUGGUGAGAUGGGCACACGGGGGAGGCCCCGCCCAGGCGAGGCUGUCCACCCAUACUACCUUGCCUGCCUCUGCAGAUGCAUCACUUCCCUGACCUGCUGGGCCGCCUGGUGAGCACCAGCCUGUUCUACUUUAAGAGCACCUUGGAAGAGGUCCGCGCUGCAGCCCCCAUGCUCACAGGUGAGCGCUGGCUGACCUCCUUACCCCCCCGGACCCUGGGGCCCACCUCCACUCUUGCCACACACCUAACCCCACCUGCUGCAGGGUUCCUGGUGCUGCAUGCAGAACCCGAGCAGCAGCCGCAGGUGGACCUGGAGCAACUGAUGGCAGGUGUGUGCCCCUACAGCCUGAGCCCCCACCCCACCCCCCACCCCCGCAACCUGCCCAGCUCUGCUGGGGCCCAGUGACCCUGUGGGCAUCUGCGGGGACUAAGUGAUUUUCCUGGAUUUCAAGUUUUUUUUCCCUGUCACUGGUGACCUCAUCGUCUCUAGUAAUUCACGGAAACUUCCUAACUGUUCCAAAAGAGCUUAAAAAACACUAAAAAAGGAAAAACUAUCUUUCCGUUGGCUCCCAAGCCCUUCCAGCAGAGCUCCGUGAGGAAGGCUGUGGGCGGCCCCAGGAGCAGGCGCAGGGCGUGCACACAGCCGCCUCUCCCUCUCCCAGCACUGCAGCUCCUGCUGCGGGACCCAGCACCCGGGGUCCGGGAGAAGUCUGCCGAGACGCUGGGCCGCCUGGUGAAGUUCGCCUGAGGCAGACCAGCAGCCAGCAGCCAACAGCACAGCGUGCCUGCACCUGCCAGAGGAAGGCCCUGCGGACCCUCCUCGGACACUCUGCUGCCAGGCGCUACCCGGACCCAGCCCCUGCUGGUGGGGAAGGGGCCAGGGGCCAGACUGGGCAGGGCAAGCCCAUGAGCCCCCACAGGUCUCCCAAUAAAGCC